CUUUUGAUAAGAGACUGCAGUGGUGCGGAGAUGAAACACACACCACAGCAAAACUACAUAGGCAUACACUAUAUCAAAGGAUAAGGAGACCCAAACAGUUUGUCUGGGUCAUUAUGUCAUGGGUGAGCCUUUAGAUCAUAAGAAGCAGUCAUCUGUAGAUGAACAUGCGUUUGAGGACAUAUGUGACAUUUGGGAAACCUCUAAUUUGGACUUUUCUUGAUAUAGCUCGGUGCUGCAUCAAACCAAACACUGCAUGGACGGAUUCUUUAAAGUGCCAUUAAAAGGAGGCCUAAUUGGAGAGUAUGCGUGUUUGGAGGUGUACGGAACAUGCAUAAUCUGGACAUGGAGAAAAGAAAAGCUCCCUUUAGGAGCCAAUGUCCAAUUAGUGUGGUAGAAAAGGUGGAAGCCAAAAAUUUGUUUACAACAAGGCUGUUUUUUUUCCAUUCUAUAUGAGACGGAGGGAACCCAGUUGGAGACAACAGAGUGGGUGUGGCUACGCCCUGCAAACCGCAGGGCCAUUGACAUUGCACUGCACAAACCACGAGGUCAGAGGAAGGUUGUUUCUUCCGAGGUACAAAGGGGUGAUUUUUCACCCACUCCAUGAGAACAGCGACAAAUAAUGAACUCUCGAGACUGCUGCUAUCACGUUCGGAUUCACACGCGUCAACUCCAUUUUGGAGCGGAACAAAAGGGCAGUAGACCAAAUAUUGGUGGGGAGGGCACGGCAUGCACUAGACAUGCCAUGCCGGGUACAGGCCGUCACCACCCUCCUUUCUCAUCGUCUGCUGGGCUAAACUAGAAAAGCAUUUUGGACUGUCCAGACAGCUCAAGCUGCACUUACUCUGACAUGAAAAGCCGUGCUUAAUUCAGACUGUCUCAUGGCUGAUUAAUCAUAAUUUAUGAUCAAAUAGAUGACUUACAGGAUCAACAUAUGCCACCCUGCUCACAAGUCCAUGUGGCUUUUUCUCUGUGCACAGGCACCAAUUGCAUGUUUGUGUAACACUGUCUCCCCAAAGUCUGUAACACCAACAAAAUCAGUGUGCCGACACCAAAAUAUGCACAUUAGUGCCCUCUUUUAGAUUUGCAGCCUUAAACAGCACUUUUCUUCUUCCUACACAAUUUGAAGCAGAAAUAAUUAUAAUGCCACACAAUAAGAUCAAACAUUACGGAUCGACCCAGCUAAUUUAAAAAAAAAAACAUUAAAAAAAAGUCAAAAUUCU